CGGGGGAACUGAAACAUCUAAGUACCCCGAGGAAAAGAAAUCAACCGAGAUUCCCCCAGUAGCGGCGAGCGAACGGGGAGCAGCCCAGAGUCUGAAUCAGCUUGUGUGUUAGUGGAACGGUCUGGAAAGUCCGACGGUACAGGGUGAUAGUCCCGUACACCAAAAUGCACAGGCUGUGAACUCGAAGAGUAGGGCGGGACACGUGGUAUCCUGUCUGAAUAUGGGGGGACCAUCCUCCAAGGCUAAAUACUCCUGACUGACCGAUAGUGAACCAGUACCGUGAGGGAAAGGCGAAAAGAACCCCGGCGAGGGGAGUGAAAAAGAACCUGAAACCGUGUACGUACAAGCAGUGGGAGCACCUUCGGGUGUGACUGCGUACCUUUUGUAUAAUGGGUCAGCGACUUAUAUUCUGUAGCAAGGUUAACCGUAUAGGGGAGCCGCAGGGAAACCGAGUCUUAACUGGGCGUUAAGUUGCAGGGUAUAGACCCGAAACCCGGUGAUCUAGCCAUGGGCAGGUUGAAGGUUGGGUAACACUAACUGGAGGACCGAACCGACUAAUGUUGAAAAAUUAGCGGAUGACUUGUGGCUGGGGGUGAAAGGCCAAUCAAACCGGGAGAUAGCUGGUUCUCCCCGAAAGCUAUUUAGGUAGCGCCUCGUGAACUCAUCUUCGGGGGUAGAGCACUGUUUCGGCUAGGGGGUCAUCCCGACUUACCAACCCGAUGCAAACUACGAAUACCGAAGAAUGUUAUCACGGGAGACACACGGCGGGUGCUAACGUCCGUCGUGAAGAGGGAAACAACCCAGACCGCCAGCUAAGGUCCCAAAGUCAUGGUUAAGUGGGAAACGAUGUGGGAAGGCACAGACAGCCAGGAUGUUGGCUUAGAAGCAGCCAUCAUUUAAAGAAAGCGUAAUAGCUCACUGGUCGAGUCGGCCUGCGCGGAAGAUGUAACGGGGCUAAACCAUGCACCGAAGCUGCGGCAGCGACACUAUGUGUUGUUGGGUAGGGGAGCGUUCUGUAAGCCUGCGAAGGUGUGCUGUGAGGCAUGCUGGAGGUAUCAGAAGUGCGAAUGCUGACAUAAGUAACGAUAAAGCGGGUGAAAAGCCCGCUCGCCGGAAGACCAAGGGUUCCUGUCCAACGUUAAUCGGGGCAGGGUGAGUCGACCCCUAAGGCGAGGCCGAAAGGCGUAGUCGAUGGGAAACAGGUUAAUAUUCCUGUACUUGGUGUUACUGCGAAGGGGGGACGGAGAAGGCUAUGUUAGCCGGGCGACGGUUGUCCCGGUUUAAGCAUGUAGGCUGAUUGUCCAGGCAAAUCCGGAUAAUCAAGGCUGAGGUGUGAUGACGAGGCACUACGGUGCUGAAGUAACAAAUGCCCUGCUUCCAGGAAAAGCCUCUAAGCAUCAGGUAACAUUAAAUCGUACCCCAAACCGACACAGGUGGUCAGGUAGAGAAUACCAAGGCGCUUGAGAGAACUCGGGUGAAGGAACUAGGCAAAAUGGUGCCGUAACUUCGGGAGAAGGCACGCUGGUGUGUAGGUGAAGUCCCUGCGGAUGGAGCUGAGACCAGUCGAAGAUACCAGCUGGCUGCAACUGUUUAUUAAAAACACAGCACUGUGCAAACACGAAAGUGGACGUAUACGGUGUGACGCCUGCCCGGUGCCGGAAGGUUAAUUGAUGGGGUUAUCCGUAAGGAGAAGCUCUUGAUCGAAGCCCCGGUAAACGGCGGCCGUAACUAUAACGGUCCUAAGGUAGCGAAAUUCCUUGUCGGGUAAGUUCCGACCUGCACGAAUGGCGUAAUGAUGGCCAGGCUGUCUCCACCCGAGACUCAGUGAAAUUGAACUCGCUGUGAAGAUGCAGUGUACCCGCGGCAAGACGGAAAGACCCCGUGAACCUUUACUAUAGCUUGACACUGAACAUUGAGCCUUGAUGUGUAGGAUAGGUGGGAGGCUUUGAAGCGUGGACGCCAGUCUGCGUGGAGCCAACCUUGAAAUACCACCCUUUAAUGUUUGAUGUUCUAACGUUGGCCCCUUACCGGGGUUGCGGACAGUGUCUGGUGGGUAGUUUGACUGGGGCGGUCUCCUCCCAAAGCGUAACGGAGGAGCACGAAGGUUAGCUAAUCCUGGUCGGACAUCAGGAGGUUAGUGCAAUGGCAUAAGCUAGCUUGACUGCGAGCGUGACGGCGCGAGCAGGUGCGAAAGCAGGUCAUAGUGAUCCGGUGGUUCUGAAUGGAAGGGCCAUCGCUCAACGGAUAAAAGGUACUCCGGGGAUAACAGGCUGAUACCGCCCAAGAGUUCAUAUCGACGGCGGUGUUUGGCACCUCGAUGUCGGCUCAUCACAUCCUGGGGCUGAAGUAGGUCCCAAGGGUAUGGCUGUUCGCCAUUUAAAGUGGUACGCGAGCUGGGUUUAGAACGUCGUGAGACAGUUCGGUCCCUAUCUGCCGUGGGCGCUGGAGAAUUGAGGGGGGCUGCUCCUAGUACGAGAGGACCGGAGUGGACGCAUCACUGGUGUUCGGGUUGUCAUGCCAAUGGCACUGCCCGGUAGCUAAAUGCGGAAGAGAUAAGUGCUGAAAGCAUCUAAGCACGAAACUUGCCCCGAGAUGAGUUCUCCCUGAGACUUUAAGUCUCCUGAAGGAACGUUGAAGACGACGACGUUGAUAGGCCGGGUGUGUAAGCGCAGCGAUGCGUUGAGCUAACCGGUACUAAUGAACCGUGAGGCUUAACCUU
rnacentral:rRNA from 1 species